rnacentral:rRNA from 1 species
GUGAGGAAUAUUGGUCAAUGGGCGGGAGCCUGAACCAGCCAAGUCGCGUGAAGGAAGAAGGAUCUAUGGUUCGUAAACUUCUUUUGUAGGGGAAUAAAGUGCGGGACGUGUCCUGUUUUGUAUGUACCCUGAGAAUAAGGAUCGGCUAACUCCGUGCCAGCAGCCGCGGUAAUACGGAGGAUCCGAGCGUUAUCCGGAUUUAUUGGGUUUAAAGGGUGCGUAGGUGGUUUGAUAAGUCAGCGGUGAAAGUUUGCAGCUUAACUGUAAAAAUGCCGUUGAAACUGUCGGACUUGAGUGUAAAUGAGGUAGGCGGAAUGUGUGGUGUAGCGGUGAAAUGCAUAGAUAUCACGCAGAACUCCGAUUGCGAAGGCAGCUUACUAAGCUACAACUGACACUGAAGCACGAAAGCGUGGGGAUCAAACAGGAUUAGAUACCCUAGUAGUCC